rnacentral:snoRNA from 21 species
AAGACUGUGCUUCAUAGGAUCAUUUCUAUAGGCAAGUUUUCAACUCACUUUCACUCGAAAGUCGAGCUAUUCCAACCCACGAUGAUGAGGUGUAGUGGCUGUCCUGGAGCGUGAAACUGUCGGAUCUUGGCUGCGUCUCUGACGCGUCGAUCUGUGCUUGAUGAUCGUAUCCAUUUGCAAAGGGCAGACACAUUCUGAGUGGU